rnacentral:tRNA from 1 species
GCCGAUGUAGUUCAGUGGCAGAACAUUCCCUUGGUAAGGGAAAGGUCGUGGGUCCGAUUCUCACCAUCGGCU